rnacentral:rRNA from 1 species
ACUCCUACGGGAGGCAGCAGUGGGGAAUAUUGCACAAUGGGCGCAAGCCUGAUGCAGCCAUGCCGCGUGUAUGAAGAAGGCCUUCGGUUGUAAAGUACUUCAGUCAGUGAGGAAGGUGGAUAUGUUAAUAGCAUAUUCAUUUGACGUUAGCUGCAGAAGAAGCACCGGCUAACUCCGUGCCAGCAGCCGCGGUAAUACGGAGGGUGCAGCGUUAAUCGGAAUUACUGGGCGUAAAGCGCAUGCAGGUGGUUUGUUAAGUCAGAAUGUGAAAAGCCC